rnacentral:rRNA from 1 species
CUGAGUAACACGUGGGCAACCUGCCCUUUGCACUGGGAUAGCCUCGGGAAACCGAGGUUAAUACCGGAUACUCCAUAUUUGUCGCAUGGCGAAUAUGGGAAAGCUCCGGCGGCAAAGGAUGGGCCCGCGGCCUGUUAGCUAGUUGGUGGGGUAGUGGCCUACCAAGGCAAUGAUGGGUAGCCGGGUUGAGAGACCGACCGGCCAGAUUGGGACUGAGACACGGCCCAGACUCCUACGGGAGGCAGCAGC